rnacentral:misc_RNA from 1 species
GGAUAUUUGAUUGCCAUGCCCUUACUUUUGGUGAAGCAGAGUUCCCUCGACUUGUACUUAUCGGGGAAAUUCCCCUUGCUCCUGAUCUUAUGUUUGUCCUCCUUGGAGUUGGAGUUGAAGAUCUUGGAGCAGAUGUUGAAGCUUUACUUGGGGGAGAAGAAGGUCUACGUGAUGGAGUGGCAGAUCGUUGGCUAGGAGUUGGGCUAGA